CACAAACUGCUGCAUGGGAAGCCUGAAGAUGACAAGAUAAAGCUUAGAUUUCUUUUAUGUGAACGUAAAAAAAAGCAUCACAAACUUCUAACAAAAAAAAUCAACGUAUGCACCAAACUAGAUUCAUGAAACAGAGCAUCAAAAGUCCCAAAAUGGGUAUACGGUAAGGAAAAUAAUCUUUGUGCAUGUUUUGAACAUAAACAAAUAAAACACAACAGUAAUGUCCCAAGAACUUGUGUUCUAACGGAUUGUAAAAGCAAUCAGAUGAGAGGUAAAAGUAAAUUACAUGCCUUCACUUUCACCACUGGGACAGAGACCACUGGGAUAGAGAAGCAGGAACAAUGUUGAGGGCCCAAAAUUUUGAAAUAAGGCUCAGAAACAAUUAACAUGAAAGUGUUAUCCACCCUAAGAUAUUCCAUUUCUAUCCAUCUCAUUACAAUGGCACUAGCCAUGAAAAAAGCAUGUUUUCUAGAUUCAACAUUAUCAUUCAGAGGGACAACAUGAAACAAUGGCCAACAGUUGAAAACAGGGGUGAGCAUAAAUCAGUUAAAACCAAAAAACUGAACCAAACAUAUUUAAUUUAGUUUUAAAGAUUCGGUUCGAUUAGUAUUUUUAGAAAGUUCAGUCUUCGGUUAGAUUCAAUUAUUUUCACAAAAAAAUCAAAUCGACCAAAAUUUGGAAUGCUAAGUCGUUUUGCCUUCAUAUAUAUAGAAUCCCUAAUUUUUUCUCUCCCUACCCUGGCUUAAGACAUCACUCUCUGUUACUUUUGGCUCUCUGUGAUUUGUGCCGUAGCCCCCUCAAAUAAGCCUUCGCCGCCACAAGCACCAGCUCUCUUUGUCUCCACUUCAUUUUCCUCUAACAUUAUAAGCCACAAAUGCAAUUUAGGGAUUUCAAAAUGUUUCACAAUUCUUUUCAGAGAAGCAAUUGGCAGGUAGAGAAAAACUUCUUGUUGAUGGUUCUGGUGGUAUAUUGAUGACAUUGUUUGGUAUCGAUUUCGUUGCCAGUUGGGUUUUCUGCAAUUGAUUUUGUUGAUUUUUGAAAACUAGUUAGUCUUGAAAACUAGGAUUGUUGAUGGUUGAUUUGCUGGAAUUUUACUAGGUUGUGAUUUUGUAAAACUUUUAGGUAACCUGUGUUUGUCGAGGGAGAGGAGUAGCAAACUGAAUUGUGUUACUUGUGUAAGCUAAAAACUGAAUUGACUGUACACCUAUUAUAUGAUAGCUGAAGGUUGAUGCAUCCAACAUCUGCAGAAAUAUUCACACUUGAUACAUGAGCUGGGCUAAAUGUUGUUUGCUGUUAAGAAGACACUUCAAAAGUUUGAACUUGAGAAUUCCAAGUUGGAGGUACUCAAGAUCAAAUUCCAUUGGGAUGAGAUGCAAGGAAGAUUAAUGGCAUUGAGGAUGGUUAUCCCCAAUUAUAACUCUUAAUUAACAUCUCAAUAUACCAAAAGAUUAUUUGCCCCUGGUAGUUUAGUUACUUUGACUUUGUUGCCUAAUGGUUUGUUGCUAAAGGGUGGCUUGGGUAUGUGCACAAUUUAAUUAAUCAAUAAAUGGACAAGCUGAUCCAUUUUCAACUUUUCGAUUUGCCACUUCCAUGAGUUAGGAUAUAUAGAUGAUAAAUUAAAAGAUUGAUGUCUUUGACAAAAAUUUUGCUUGCUAGCCUACUUUGAACAUAGAUAUCGAAGAUGCCAUCAGACAUAAAUUAUAAAUAUGAACAGAAAGGGAUAAGACAUGUUAGAAGGCCAAGAGCAUGAGUAACGAAAAAAAUAAAAAAUAAAAAAAGUUCCUGCGUGUGGAUUUCGGCGAAGGAGAAA
rnacentral:misc_RNA from 1 species